rnacentral:rRNA from 1 species
UGGGGAAUUUUGGACAAUGGGGGAAACCCUGAUCCAGCCAUCCCGCGUGUGCGAUGAAGGCCUUCGGGUUGUAAAGCACUUUUGGCAGGAAAGAAACGUCAUGGGUUAAUACCCCGUGAAACUGACGGUACCUGCAGAAUAAGCACCGGCUAACUACGUGCCAGCAGCCGCGGUAAUACGUAGGGUGCAAGCGUUAAUCGGAAUUACUGGGCGUAAAGCGUGCGCAGGCGGUUCGGAAAGAAAGAUGUGAAAUCCCAGAGCUCAACUUUGGAACUGCAUUUUUAACUACCGGGCUAGAGUGUGUCAGAGGGAGGUGGAAUUCCGCGUGUAGCAGUGAAAUGCGUAGAUAUGCGGAGGAACACCGAUGGCGAAGGCAGCCUCCUGGGAUAACACUGACGCUCAUGCACGAAAGCGUGGGGAGCAA